rnacentral:lncRNA from 1 species
CCAAAUUAAAAAAACUUUUAACAAUCGUAUGACCAAGAAUUUACCCUUUUAAAUAUGAAUUUAUGCUGUGUCCAUUAUUUUGAAUACAUUAUCAUUUGCUAUAAAUAAAAAUAUUAUUUGCUAACCAUCAUUUUAAUUAAUUACCAAAUUUUUUGGUCGAUUGUCGUUACCGAAUUAACUUUUAACUAUUCGCUUAUUAUGACAUACAUAUUAUUUUAACUUUGUACUUAAAAAGAUUUUUUUCUGGUAAUCAAUCUAUCAUCAGGAGAGUAAUCUCACCAUCCAUAAAUAUUAUAACUAUAUCCUAAUAUCAAAUUCAUCAGCAUAUCUAAAGACAAAUAGCAAUAGAUUUCCCCUUAUCUGCAGUGAAGUAGCCAUUGGCUACCAAAUUGGUUGAGCAGAAAGGGAGAGAAACUAUGGCGUCAGCUCAUACACAAGCGCUCACAGUUAUGUAAAAGAGCGAUGGUAAUCAGUAUAUGACGCAAAACAUUUAACCAAACAAAGCUAAACCCAUCAAAACAAGCCCCCCCAAACCCAGUUUUCUUCAUGAAAUCAAUGUAGUUAAUGGCCUUGAAAGAGUGAAAAACGAAAACCCAAAGUUUCCAAUUUCACACAAAGUUGAAAAGCCAACAACAAAAAGAGCUGAUUUUGGUGGGAUACUGACCAUUCACACAAAGAAGAAAAAUAGCCAAUUGGCUAGACAUGUGACUGGCUAAUUGCCCACCUCAAGGAUAAAAAAUGACAAAAACGAAAACUUUUCAAUGAAUGAAGGCAGAACCAGGAUGAACAGAGCAUUUAGUUGC